UCAUCAGGUGGGAGAAUCCUUACAUGUUCCUCCUUUUACAAGGCAGAUUAGAACAUGAUGAUGGGGGUUCAAAUAAUAAGUGAUUAAAGUUUCUGUGUAAUCAGGACUUGCAAUAUUCCGAAUGCUCUUACCUGAC
ensembl:snoRNA U8 U8 small nucleolar RNA